GCACUGCUGGCGAGUCCUAAACAGGACGAAACAGCUGUCCAGUGC
rfam:Echinostoma caproni strain Egypt genome assembly, scaffold: ECPE_scaffold0010894